rnacentral:rRNA from 1 species
CCUACGGGUGGCAGCAGUGAGGAAUAUUGGUCAAUGGGCGGAAGCCUGAACCAGCCAAGUAGCGUGCAGGAUGACGGCCCUACGGGUUGUAAACUGCUUUUAUACGGGAAUAACGCGCCUUACGUGUAGGGCUUUGCAUGUACCGUAUGAAUAAGGACCGGCUAAUUCCGUGCCAGCAGCCGCGGUAAUACGGAAGGUCCGGGCGUUAUCUGGAUUUAUUGGGUUGAAGGGGAGCGUAGGCGGCAUGUCAAGCGUGCUGUGAAAUGUCCGGGCUCAACCCGGGCCUUGCAGCGCGAACUGGCGUGCUUGAGUGCGCGGAAAGCAGGCGGAAUUCGUCGUGUAGCGGUGAAAUGCUUAGAUAUGACGAAGAACCCCGAUUGCGAAGGCAGCUUGCUGCAGCGGAACUGACGCUGAUGCUCGAAAGCGCGGGUAGCGAACAGGAUUAGAUACCCUUGUAGUC